UAAAGGGUCCGUAGGCGGUUUGGUAAGUCAGUGGUGAAAGCCCAUCGCUUAACGAUGGAACGGCCAUUGAUACUGCCAGACUUGAAUUACUAGGAAGUAACUAGAAUAUGUAGUGUAGCGGUGAAAUGCUUAGAUAUUACAUGGAAUACCAAUUGCGAAGGCAGGUUACUACUAGUGGAUUGACGCUGAUGGACGAAAGCGUGGGGAGCGAACAGGAUUAGAUACCCGGU
rnacentral:rRNA from 1 species